UAGCAACUGAGUCUGAUGAACUGUGGAAACAUAAAAAGAUCAAGCAACGGGGCUCACAAGGAUGAGAGGCUAAUCUGAAGGCACAGAUAAAUGCCACUGCUCAAGGAUUCUUGAGCAAAAGAUUCCAGAUGUUCCAGCAUAUUUGGUUGAGAUCCAUCCAAGGAAAAAGGGCAUUUGUAAUUUCAGCCUCCCAUGUGAUUUACUAAAGAAAAGGAACAUAAAAGAGGCAUUAAGAUUUCUGUUACAAACUCUCUGUCAACUUCCUUCCUGAUUGUCAUACUUCACCCUCAGCAUAGAACAGCUAUGUUCUCCAAGCAGCAGGUGAAUUUAAUCCUUCCACCCAGACUUGAAAGAUGCACUGAAAAUACGGAAUCAUCCUUUCUUCUAAUAUUCAUAUGGUACCUACAAGCUUCAAGUACUGUACUUAGAAGAUGUGAAGAUAAAUAUUUUUUAACACACUCAGCUCUCAAAUAUUUUAUGGUCAGUAGAUCAAAAGCCCCAUGCUCAAAGCGCUAUUUGCAUUUUGAAGUUGACAAAGAGAUCAGUUUAUUCAACCACGGUGAUGAUAAUGCCGUGGAGUCAUUUUCCCCUAGGACUUGGCUCUUAGCUUUGCAGUUUAAGAGAUCAGAAUUGAUUAUGCUCAGAUUCAUGAAAUGUAUAAGAAACUACUGUAUAAAUCACAUGUUAAAAUAUUAAUUUAAAGUAAAAGUUUUGACUGCCAAACAUAAUGGAUUACUCAGGCAGGUUGGUCAACACAUUCCCUCCCCUGUAGAGAGGGGUGCCAGGAACGCCAAAUUACUUGCUCAAUGAGCAUGGAAUUAUAUGAUAAUGAUCAUAACAGAUGGUGUCAUGAAACUUUGAUAGCAAACUGCACUCUGCCUUGAAGAUGUACCUAUCAAGGGAAUUUGAACUAUUAGUCUGCUCUCACCAGGAAAAUAACUCUUAUUUUCCUUAAAGAUAUAUAUAUUAAAAGCACAAAAAG